ensembl:lncRNA
GGAACACAGAAUGGAACUGCCUUCCCUUUACCUCAUCCCCUUCAUUUCCCACCCUCCCUUUCCUUCCCCCAAAAUAAGUGAAUAAAUGAAAGAAAAAUACUCAACAUCACUUCCUAUAAAAAAGCCAAGAGAUCAUGAGUCAAGUGAAGGCCCUAUUCUCAUCCAUCGGGAUCUGUUGUACCCAGCCUCUGGUGAAAUGUGGAAGAGGCCUUAGAGUGUUCACAGCAGCCCUGAACCAAAUCACAAGGAUUAAGAGCCAAAGCUAGACCACAAAGGCAAUGUGAUAGGUUGAAAUAGUAAGAGGCAUUCCAGGUCCACGGAUGACGUUUGGGGUGGUCAUGCCCACUUGGACCACUGUUCAAGGUCCUCUAAGAGUGACUGUAUGCGAGUUUGCGUGCAGUUGAAACAUAAACAGCCAUCUUAUCCCUGGCCUCAGUAAAAACUCUCCCAAGUUUUUUUGACUCCCGAAGAAGUUGGUCCCCCAUUUAUUUCCCCAGGUUCCACCCUCCAUUCAAGUCAAACUACGGUGUUAGAACACAGGUUUUCAACUUCUCUAGGAGAAUACAAGUCUCUCAUUCCCACAUCACAGACAAAUUCCUGGGUCUAACUUUUCUUUGAUACUUUUGUCUGUGGCUACCUGCACCCACCUGCUGGAAAUCAGCCUAAGCAAGCUGCUUUCAUGGAGGGGUCAGAGAAAGGAUUACUGUGCCUGGAGGUGUGUGGGAAGUUGCAGGGGAAGAAGCGAAGAGGCAGCUCUUCCCUGUGGUGCUUCAGGACUCAGUUCCUGCCUCUGCAUGGGCAGGAGAGUAGACUGGAUGUCCUUCCUCUGGUCCACUCCUAGCACAUAAGCCGCUUGCUGGCCCUUAGUCGGCUUCCUAGCAGGGAAGACCUGAACCCCCAUUGGCAAGCCCUCCUUCCCCGUCAUUCUGUGAAGCGCACUUAGUGACCUGAGCCUUUCUCCUGGUGAGCUUGGUUUGGCUUUUCCCCUUUGCUCCACCAGCUCUCAUACCUACUUGCUUCAAGGUGCAGCUCAUAUCCCUCUCUUCCAUGAGUCCACCUGCAGCUUAAUCUAGGCCCCAGGAAUUUUUCCCUUUUCUGUAUUUUUAUAGCACAUUUACAGCCUGUGCCACAAAAUCUAGUAUUUGAAUCUUAUUGGGAGCUGUGGUUCUCAACCCUUAAUUUUUGUUCGUAUUCCUGUGGGUUACUGUGGCUCAUCAUGGGGAACUGCUUUUGCGAUCAGAAGAUCCAGGUUCAGAUCCUGCCUCUGACCAUUACUGUAUGACCUCGGGUGAAUGCUAUAACCUCUCUUAGAAAAAUGGGGAUAACAACAUUUGCCACAUUCAUUUACAGUUAUAAGCAUCCAAUAAGAUCAUGCAUGUGAAAGUAUAUUAUACAGUCCACGUGAACAAUGUAUUGUUUAAACUCUAGUUAUUUCAAGCGUCCAGGUCUUGUGUCUUCCAAUUGAGUUGUAACUUCCUUACCAAUCAUCAUUGUCAUCAAUUAAUUAAACUUUAAAAAUAAAACAAUGAUAUCUCCUUCUAACUACUUUUUAAGCCAAAUGAUUUCCUUUCUCCUCUUACUGUAAAAAUUUAAAUACUAAUUUGAGCAUGCCAGAUAAUUAAAUGUAGACAAUUCUUUUUACAUUUGUGCAUCCUGUUAACCUUGCGCUAAGAACCAACUUCUGUCUUAUCUACAAUACUAUAUGCAGAAUAAAAAGUACCCAAGAUGGAAUUCAUGAAUUUAGACAGGCAUUGAGAUGAGUAUAUCCAUUAUGGGGUUAAAGCGGGCUCAAACCUGCAAAACAACUAAGAGUGAAAAGAAUAUUACAAAAAAGAUAUUCAUACUGCUGAAGAGAAUAAACCUUCUGAGCUUUCUG